AACAUGCCUUUAGGUGGGGGACAACAGUUGUAAACGACUGCUAAUACCGCAUGAUGUCUACGGACCAAAGUGGGGGACCUUCUGGCCUCACGCCUAAAGAUUGGCCCAAGUGGGAUUAGCUAGUUGGUGAGGUAAUGGCUCACCAAGGCAACGAUCUCUAGCUGGUUUGAGAGGAUGAUCACCCACACUGGAACUGAGACACGGUCCACACUCCUACGGGAGGCAGCAGUGGGGAAUAUUGCACAAUGGGCGAAAGCCUGAUGCAGCCAUGCCGCGUGUGUGAAGAAGGCCUUCUGGUUGUAAAGCACUUUCAGUCAGGAGGAAAGGUUACGUUUUAAUAGAACGUAGCUGUGACGUUACUGACAGAAGAAACACCGGCUAACUCCGUGCCAGCAGCCGCGGUAAUACGGAGGGUGCGAGCGUUAAUCGGAAUUACUGGGCGUAAAGCGUACGCAGGCGGUUGAUUAAGCGAGAUGUGAAAGCCCCGGGCUC
rnacentral:rRNA from 1 species